AUUUGUAUCAUCUUCAGGAACUGGCAAAUGGUCAAAACAAGUUUAAUAAUAAGGAGCACACAUAUAGCUUGAUAUCUGAAUUGCUUCGCUUGCUGAAACAUAUCUAUCAGAACCAAUUAAAUGAGCUGGAAGUAAAGCAAGGGGAUCAAGAAGGUGGAUUUUCUGGUGUACUUCUUCGAGUAUAUGAGCCUCAUAAUGAGCUUGUUAACUGUAAUUAUUGCAGGACUUCACUAGUGGAUUUUCACAGAAGCUGCUAAAAUUGCUCUUACAAACUUUGCUUAGAUU